rnacentral:lncRNA from 1 species
GAUUAUCUAGGUGAUAAAGCUAAAUAAAACAUGUAAAUAAGACAAGCGAGGAGAAAGAAGGCAAGACAAUUCAUGAUAAAGGGGACUGCUCAUGUAAUAAACCAAUUACCCCAAAUAAACAUGUAAAGUGAAUAAAAAGACUAAAAAAAAACGAAAUCGUCUAAGCCAAACAAAGAGAUGUUUUGGUUUUGUUCGGAUCAAAAACCCAACUUGUCAAUCAUCAUUCGACCCAAGGGCCAAACUCUUAAACAAGUAAUAAUGUCAUUAGCCUCGCCUUUAAUAUUUGUUGGGAUAAACAUUUCCGAAUGACUACCUGUCCCACCCCACCUAGGCUGAAUGUCAAGUCUAAAGGUGUUCUAUGACAAGGACAAAACUAACGUUUUUAGUAAUAAUUAUCAUCCCAACUAUCGUCUAAGAGGCAUUGGACUUUGUUAUUUUGGAUUUGUGUUCUAGACUAAAAGAAAUCUAUGUUGCCUAGGACUUGAAGCGCGAACAUAUUGGACAACAAGUAGCACGUAAUAAUCUCAAGUUAGCCUCUUGAUUAAUUAACGUUUAUUAAUGUGAUAGCAUGCGAAGAUAAGUAAUUAUAUAUUAUGUCAUUAACCUAUAGGCAUGAUGUCUAAUGUUCAAUCAAGUGGUGCCAAAGGACAACUGUGAUUCGUGUAUGCAACAAUAUAAUGUGCUCAUGAGGGGUGUCAAAAGUGUGGUAAAUGUGUCAAGAAAAUGUGCUUGUGAAUUAAGUGUCAUAAGCUAUAAUGAGAAUACAAGAAACUAGUAAAAUAUUAAAGGAUGCGUUAAAAUGUUAGGAAUGCACUUAAAUGCAGAGAACAAAUUAACAUAUAGAAAAUGUAGAGUAUUACUAGUAUUUUAGCAUGCUGGAAGUCAACUAAACAUGCUGAAAAAGUUAAACAUGCUGAAAAAUUAAUUAAUCAUGCUGAAAGUUACUUAAACAUGCUGGAAAGUUACUUAAACAUGCUGAAAAUAACGUUAAGACGCAGUAUUUUCAUGUUGAUAUGCUGAAAACAUGCCAAGAAUGUCUAAAAUCUAAUAUUUUAAUAUGGUAUAAAUGUAGGGAACUAGCAUUUUAAACAUGCUGAAAUCAGUAUAAGUGCUGAAAUUUAUUUAGAUGCGCAGAAAAAUCAUUUAAACAUGCUGAAAUUUAAUCUAAAAUUGCUGAACUAGAUGUUAGACAUGCUGAAACUUUGAUGUUAACAUGCUCAAAUUGUUUUAAUAUGCCUAAAACGGUGUCGACACGCCUAAAAAUGUAAAGACGUACUAAAUAAAUCGUGCUUAACAUGCAAAAAUUAAUGUAAUAAGCUAACGUAUCGAAAAUAUUAUCAUGCCUUAAUUUAAUGUGGAUAUGUUAAAAAGGUAUUAGCAUGCUUAGUUUCAAAUCAAUAUGCUUAACAUGCAGAGAUACGUCAACAUGCCUAAUGUCAAAUUAAUAAGCUUAAUAUCAAUUAAUAUGAUACGUCAAUUUUAGAUGGAUAAGAGUAAUUAAUAAAUCGUAGCAAGAUUCAUAUUAAUAGACCCAAAUUUUGUGCCUAGAUGAUUCAAAUAACACGUCUUGCAUGUAAUCCUAGGUUGUGCCUACCUAUACCGUUCAUAGAGCACAUAAUCCUUGCCCCCCAAAGCAGUCCCCAAAUAAUAUUAUUACAUCAAUAGGAAAAAUAUUUUAGAAUAAUAUUACAGACCAAAUAAAAAAAAAAAAAAAAACUAGUUAAAAAGAAUACAUAGUUUAACUAUUCCGGGGACUCUUUGGAACUUGUAAGUGUCUAUUUAACCUGCGAAACAAAUUAUAAUGGCAAGCAGACAGGAACACAUAAUAGCAAACAUCAAAAUAUUCCUAAAGACAUGCUUUCUAAAGAUUUUACAACACGAUGCAAUCAAGAUAAAUAGAGGAUGAAAAAUUACAUCGUUCAAGAACUCACCAGUGAACAGCAUUAAAGAGAGAAUAAGAAUAAUAGAAGCCAAAAGCCAAGUAUACGUAAUAGCGAGAUAUGCAAGAUGUUAACAGCAGCCUCUAAAGAGAAACAAAAAGCACUUAAAAAUAUUUAAUUGCCUUUGUAAAAAGUAGCCAAUGAUUUUUGUUAAGAGUAGUAGUAGUAAUUGUAAUUGUGAGACUUGAGAACUUUUCGCUGUCCCCUUUUGUGAAUGAAGGGAUGGGUUUAUAUAGUAUCAAAGAAAUCAGUCAGCUGAGACAAAACAGGAAAAUAAAUAUUCCACCCCUUUAAUUACUGAAGUGAUAUUAUGUAAAAUUAGUCGGGGGUAAAAAUAAGAAAGAGGAGAAAUCAAUCACCCAUAAUUUCCUUAAAAGAAGGCUUGCUCAAUCAAUUGUUUCAUGUUUCCAUAUAUAGGUGGGUAAGAAAAGAUACUAAUUUGAAAGAGGAAAAAUAAUAACAGAAACACGUAUCAUUUACCAUAGAUACUCAAAUUAAUUAAAAGCCAUCCGUUAAUUCUGCUAAAAGCCCAGAAUCUAUUGUCAAUUAGGAACAAACACAAUUAAUAUUUUAUCAUAAACACUGAUUCAAAUAUAAUCCAUGUAUAGCACCUUUCAAUAACAAUCAACAGUCAGCAAUCACAUUGAUUAUCAAAAUUGAGGGUUUUCGCACAUAAUAGUCCAAUGAUAAACAAGUAACUAGACGAAUUAACUCACACUGACAGUCAGAUAUCAUAAACCUUAGGCAAUUUGGGUGAUGAAAAGAACAUGCAAAUCAAAUCGAUAACAAACAUGCCAUUACUAAAACAAACCGUAUAAUAGUCAGAUCUCGGGGGGUGUUAUUUUUGUUGGUGGUGACACCGAAAAUGAAGGAGGUUGCGGAUUUGGAGCGGCGCGAGAAAGAGGCAGAGAAAGGAGGUUGAAUCACAACUGGUGGAGGUGGCAGAUCUGGGGGCGGUGCUGGAGUGGUGGCUCCGAUCGGCGAUGGGAGGCUGGUCGUUCUUGUUUUCGCCAGAGAGGACGGUGCCGGGGCUGGUUUCAUGGCGGCAGUAUGGAGGUUUUUGUGGUCGAUUGGCGACGGAGAGAUCGAAGGAGAGGGGGAGAUCGAGAUUUGGAAGGAUUUUGUAGAGAGAGAGGGGGCAAGGAGAAGGGCUCACUGGCGAUGAGACAGUGGCGGCACCAUCACCAGCAGCAAUGGAUGUCGAUGAUGAUGAGAAGAAAGAAGGGGAGAUAGAGAGAGAGGAGUUAGAGAGAUGAGAGGGGCGGAUGGUUUUUUUGGGGGGAAUUAUGGUUAGGUUUAGGUUUUGUUGUUGUUUUAAAAAGGAAGGUAAAGGAGGUUUGAUCUCAUCCAUCAGAUCAGUUUUUGAUCAACGGCUGGGAUUUAAAGAUUGAAAAUUUGACCAACAUUGAGUACCAUUUAAAAUUGAGUGAUUAAAUUGGCCAUAAUUGUAAUAAAGGGUUGACAUUGUAAUAAAAUUGAGGCUAAGAGAUGAAUGAAUUAGACAAAUGACUUCAAUUUUAGACUGUUAUUUAAAUUUUAGUAGAGAUAACAAUAGAUGAUAAUAAUAAUUAAACAAUAAUAAUAAAUAAUAAUAAUAAAUAAUAAAUAAUAAUAAUAUAUAUAUAUAAUAACAAUGUCAGUGAAAAAUAAUAAUAUCAAUAAAUAGAAUUAAAUAAUGAAAAACUAGACAAUGCAUUUGUAAAAAUGUGAGUGUGCGCAGUUACGUGAAAAAUAAUUUAAUUAAUAGAAUUACAUAAAAUAUCAUAUUUGAUUUUGAAAUUAUAAACAUGAUAAAAUAAUAAAAUAAUUUAUGCAUUUUUUCUAAAUUGUGAAUGCAAUACGUCACUAUAUACUUAAAUUCAAGAAUAAUGAAAAAAUUAUUAAUAAUUGAAAUUAAAUAAUUUUGAUAAAAUAAUAGCCUAAAUAUAAUAUCGGGAGGUCAAAAUUGGGUGUCAACAGGGGAAAGGGUAGAUAUUUUUUUACUUUUGAUUUUUAAACUUGAAAGGGCGGGUAGGAGUGGAGGUAGGAGGUAGGUGGGUGCGGGGAUAGAAACAUUCUUUUUCUUUUUGCAUUUCAUUGAGAAAUAAUAUAAUAGUUGAACAUGAUGCACAAAUAGAUAGAAUAGUCUCUGCAAAUAGCAUCUUUCGAUCCUUUAAAGUAAUAUAAUUUAACAUGCAACAUUCACAUAGUUUCAAGUAUCUUGGAUCCAUGAUUCAGGCGAAUGGUGAGGAUGUCUCCCACCGUAUUGGGGCGGAAUGGAUGAAGUGGAAGCUCGCCUCGGGGGUAUUGUGUGAUAGGAAGGUGCCUCCCAAGCUUAAAGGCAAAUUCUACAGGGUGGCAGUUCAUUCGACCAUGUUGUAUGGAGCGGAGUUUUGGCUAGUCAAGAAAUCUCACAUUCAAAAAUUGAAGGUGACGGAAAUACGAAUGUAGCAUUAGAUUUGUGGGCUUACUAGGGGUGAUAGAGUUCGAAAUGAGACUAUUAGGAAAAAGGUUGGAGUGACUUUGGUGGAGGACAAGAUGCGGGAAGUCCGAUUGAGAGUGUUCUGACGUGAUGAGGGGGGCACGGAUGCCCCGAUUUGUAGGUGUGAGAAGCUAUCUUUGGAUGGUUUCAGGUGGGGUAGGGGUACACCGAAGACACAUGAAAAAGAGGUGAUCAGGCAGGACAUGGAGCAGUUACAGCUCACUAAGUACAUGACCCUAUAUAGGAAGAUAUGGAGGACGCAAAUUAGGAUAGAAGGCUAGUGCCAGUUUGGGUCGUUGGGGCAGGGCAUUACUUGGUAGGUGUAUUAUUCUUUUUAUGACACUUUGUUUCAUGUUUUAUUACGAAUUUGUUUACUAUUCUUUAUUUAUUAUUCCUUGUGGGUGGCAUAUUUAUGUCAGGUCAUCUUGUUCCAUGCUUUAUCACGGAUAUGUUUAUUAUUCCUUAUCUUGAGCCGGGGGUCUAUCGGAAACAGCCUUUCCACUUCUCCGAAGGUAGUGGUAUGGAUUACGUACAUCUUACCCUCCCCAGACCCCACUAUGUUGGAAUACACUGAAUUUGUUGUUGUUGUAUGCAACAUUCACAUAUAAGAUUAUUAAAAUAAUAUCUUUAAAUUAUGAAUAAUAUAAUAAAGAAAAAUCUUAAAUGAAAAAUUCUUUUUACAAUUACAUGAUUGUUUUUUAGUAUAGAUUUGGUUAGAGGUUAGGUGAUUGGCGUAAGGAAGGAUGGGUGAGGAUAGAGGCUUAUGGUGUGUGGGGGAGGUAGUUAUUUUUUUUUUUUUUGAUAAAAUUGAAAGGGUACCAGAACAAUUUCAACCAAUUCAAGAAGAGGAGGAGUUUGAGGAAGAAAUUAAGGAUGAAUGUAAUAGUUUUCGACCCGACGAUCCAUAUGGGAAGAAGCCCAUGGAAGCAACGGUAACCCUCCCUCGAAAGCCACAAAUCUCUGAUGUGAGGGCAUCCACGAGCUCCAAAAUUGAUGAACCAGUACAAAUUGAGCAGAAUCUAGGGGAUUCUCCACGAGAAUGAGCCACUAACAAAGGACACGCACUGGUAUACAAGAUCCCAAAUCAGCGUGAUAGGAAGAUGGUGGUCAAGCUCACACAGGAGGACAUUAAGACUAGUGACGAAUAUUUAUCCACAAUGCUUAUAGGGUAUGUGUUGGGUGAUGCUCCAUAUGAGAAUUCGAUGGAUAAUUUUGUUGUAACCGUCUGGAAUUUUGUGAGGAAACCCCAGAUAUUCUAUCAUGCUGAAGGGUAUUAUGGAUACCGAUUUGUAUCAAUAGAGGUGCUACAAACAGGACCUUAUUCCUAUCAUAACAAGCCCUUCCUUCUGACACCAUGGGUAGAGGAGUUUGUGUUUGAUAAGAAAGCAAUUACAAAAGUUCCAUUAUGGGCUAAUCUCCUAGGAUUACCAGUGGGAUAUUGGUCAAUUGAGGCAUUGGGCAAAGUAGCAAGUGCAAUAGGUAAACCCCUGUAUACUGAUAAAUAUACAGCAGACAUGAAUCGCAUUUCGUAUGCAAGAGUGUUGGUGGAAGUAGAUAUAUCCCAACCCCUAGUUGAGAAUAUAGAAAUUGAAGCUCCGUGUGGAAUAAUUCAAUAAGGGGUAGAGUAUGAUUGGAGGCUUAGAUUCUGCAAUGAAUGUAUUUGAUAUGGACACAACAUUGUGGACUACAGGUUAAAUAUAUAUCCAAGAAAGGAAGAAGAACAACCACUUUAAGAAAACGAGGAGUUCAAAGAGCCACCAAAAUGAAGAAGAAGGGUCAGAAGACGUAAGAAAAUAGUACCAACAUAGCUAGCUAAAGCAGAUGAGAGGCUCCCUCAAGCUAUACUAGCUAAUCAAGAAGGUCCAAGCAAGGAGGAUGCUACUCCCACGAGUAAGCAAGCUGAAACAGAACCAGUUUUAAGUCAAAGUAACUGAUAUGCACCACUAGCUAGAACAACUGAGGCAAAUGGUAACACUUCAAGGCCAGCAACUAAUACCACCCAUCAGCCCCAUGAUUAUGUGUACAUGGAAUGUAAGGGGGCUAAAUAAACCCUUUUAAGCAGAAAGAGGUAUUACUUUCUGAAAAAAGAAUAAAAUUGAUCUCUUUGGUUGCUUAGAGACUAGAAUAAAGGAAGAAAAGGCUAAACCAAUCCUGUUUAAAUUUGUAAAAGAAUGGAACCAUUGGUAUAACUAUCCUUAUGGUACGAAUGGGUGUAUAUGGAUGCUAUGGAAGAAAACAUAAAUGUGCAAGUUUUACACAUACAUGAGCAGUACAUUCACUGUGAGGUAGCAACCAGUAACUUCAGAGCUAAAGUCACAGUGGUGUAUGCUAGGAAAGAGGUGAAUAUAAGAUCAAUUCUAUGGAAGGAACUACAGUAAAUAGGUACAGGAUGUCAAGAACCAUGGUUGUUGAGUGGAGAUUUUAAUAAUGUGCUAAUAAAUGAUGACAGAGUGGGACAACCAGUUAUAGAGUCAGAAGUGCAAGGGUUCAAAGAUAUGAUUGACAAUUUACAGCUUACUCCUAUUAGAUCAAAAGGCAGUUAUUACACAUGGUGCAAUAAGCAGCAGGGAGCCAAUACGGUGUACAACAAAAUAGAUUAGGUACUUGGGAACCUUGAAUGGCUGUAAUAAUUUGGUCAGGCUGAGGUCAAGUACAUAGUGCUAGCUGUAUCUGAUCACUCCCCAGCUAUGAUUCAGUGUCUGCAGAGGACCAGUUUGCACCCAAAACCAUUAAGAUUAUAUACCACUGUCAUGGAACAUCCCCAGUUCCAUGAAAUAGUGCAACAAGUUUGAAAGGUACCUGAGAUAGGUGAUGCGAUGAUAGUUGUAUGGAAUAAGCUGAAAAGGAUAAAAAUAACACUAAAAGAUCUGUAUAAUUACACGGCAACGUAUUCUCACAAAUUGACUCAAUCAAGGCAGCAACUAGAGAUAGUGCAAGCACAUAUAACCACACGACUAUUUGAUCAAUCCCUGUUUGAGCAAGAAAAAACUCUCUUAGCUGAAAUCCAAAAGUGGAGCUUAGUGGAGGAGAAGGUAUUGAGACAAAAUCUAGAGCAUGUUGGAUUGAUUAUGGGGAUGCAAAUACAAUGUACUUUCAUGCUCAGUUGAAAAACAAACUACAACACUAUAUCCUCUAUCUACACUGAAGAUGGGGUGAAAGUAAAUGAUCCACUGGAGGUAGAGAAUGAAUUUAUCUCUUUCUUUAAAUCACUUAUGGGAAAGAAAGAAGAUGAGUUACCUUAUCUUGACUCAAUGUUAAUACAUAGUGGACCCAGAUUAGACAGAGACCAGCAGUUGAUAUUAAUUAGAAAAGUAACAUCAGAGGAAAUAGAGAAAGCUGUCAAAGGUAUGCCAAAUGAUAAAAGCCCUGGGGUAGAUGGAUUUCCCAUAGAACUCUUUAAAUCCAAAUGGAAGCAGGUCAAAACAAAGGUACGUGAAGCUGUACAAUAGUUCUUCCUAACAGACAAGAUGAUGAAGGCUUGGAAUUGCACAACACCCACCUUAAUACCUAAAGUACCUUCACCUACUAAAGUGAAGGACUUUAGGCAUAUCGCUUGAUGCUCUACCAUGUAUAAGGUGAUUUCAAAGAUCCUCACAAAUAGAAUAAAAAGAGUUUUAAAAAGUAUUAUUGGGUGCUCACAGUCUGCAUUCAUAGAAGGAAGGAAUAUUUCAGAUAAUAUACUCUUGAGCCAUGAGCUAUUCAAAAGAUAUACAAGGAAAUGGAUCUCCCCUAGAUGUGUACUAAAGGUGGAUAUUAGAAAGGCUUAUGAAACCCUUGAAUGGAGUUUUUUGCAAGCUAUGAUGAAUGAAUUGGGUUCCCAUAAAAAUUUAUCUAAUGGGUAAUGGAAUAUGUGUCCACAGUGUUCUAUUCUUUAAUGCUUAAUAGAGGUCUCACAAAGUCUUUUAAGGCUAAUAGAGGGUUGAGGCGGGGUGAUCCCAUGUCACCAUUCCUAUUUGUUAUAGCAAUGGAAUAUCUGCACAGAGAGAUGAUGCAACUGACACUAAACAAAUAAUUCCACUUCCACCCAAGAUGCAAAAGAUUUGGUUUUAUUCAUUUAUGUUUUACUGAUGAUCUCUUAAUGUUUUGCAGGGCUGAUCUGUCAUCUGUAUCCAUGUUACAAGAGUCCUUUCAUAAAUUUUCAUGUUCCUCAAGUUUGGAAGCUAAUCAGGAGAAGAGUUCCAUUUACAUGGUCGAGACCACACCAUACAUGAAAGAAGACAUACUGCAAUUGCUGAGUUAUGUGGAAGGAAGGCUGCCUUUCAAGUACUUGGGGGUUCGCCUAUCCACAAAGAAGUUGACUGUAUCUCAAUGCUUACCUCUGGUAGAGAAGUUCACAACUAGGAUUACAUGUUGGUCAGCAAAGUUAUUAUCUUACUCAGGUCGGUUACAACUGAUAAAGGUUGUUAUGUUUGGCAUACAAAGUUAAUGGGCUCAAAUCUUUAUACUUUUCAAAAGGAUAAUCAAGAUGCUGAAAACUAUAUGUCGAACAUUUCUUUGGACAGGCCAUAGUGAAUUAUCAAAGAAAGCACUGGUCGCGUGGGAAAGACUUUGAUACCCAGAAUCAGCAGGUGGGCUAAACAUUAUUAAUCUUAAGUUGUGGAAUAAGACAGCCAUCCUAAAGCACUUAUGGGCUAUCUCGAUGAAAAAAGAUACACUAUGGAUUAGAUAGGUACAUUACUACUACAUAAAGAAUAUCAAACUCGAGGACCUGGCAAGUCCUAAGAACGCAGCUUGGGUGAUGCAGAAGAUCAUAGAUCGUGGUAAAUUCAUCAUGUUACAGCAAUGCUACCAGGAGAGUAUAGAUCAAACCUUGAGAAGUCUGAUACAAGGUAACAAAUUCAAGAUUAAGAAAGCUUAUCUAACACUUCAGCCUCAAUUUCCAAGGGUGGUAUGGAAGAACAUCACACUACAUAAUAGAGUGCAUCUUAGAUAAAAAUUCCAUUUGUGGCUUGCAUUACAUGAGAGAUUAUCUACAGUUGAUAGACUUCAGAAGAUGGGGGUGCAAGUUCCUAUGAGCUGUGUUUUUUGUGAUCAAGAGGAAGAAAUAAUACACCACCUAUUCUUUAGAUGUCCUUACCAUAAGCAGAUCUGGACCAUAAUACUCAUAUGGAUGAGAGCAUACAGAGCAAUAGGUACAUGGCAUCAAGAGGUAGAAUGGAUAUGCAAGAUGGCAAAGAAGAAAGUUAUGAUCGCUGAGAUGCUAUGUAGUGUGUUUGCAAUGGUAGUAUACAACAUUUGGAAAGAUAGAAACAUGAUGAGGUUACAGAAUGGCAGAAGUGAUACAACUAAAAUAUGUCAUGAAAUAGCUAUGUACCUACACAUUCAGGGAAGAAACAAAACUUCUUGGCGGGAAAAGCUGCAAUUGCUGAAUUAUUUUCCUUAGGAGAAGUAGAAUUGAUACUUAUUGUAAAUGGAUUAUGGCUAUGUUAGUGUAUAGAUAACAUGAAUAGGCCAUAGAAAGACAAAUGAGGUGGUAGAUGAUCAGCUUCUAACCGACUAUGUAACGACUCACUUUUUUAUUAAUGAAAAUACCUGUUAAUCAAAAAAAAAUAUGAUAUUUAAGCAUGAUGCACAAAUAGACAGAAUAGUACUCCCAACUAGCAUCUUUCUAGCCUUUAAAGUAAUUUGAUUUAACAUGCACAUUCAAAUAUAAAAUAGUUAAAAUAAUACUUUAAUAUUAAUUGUGCAUCGCACGGGUAUGUAUACUAGUAUAUACAUAUAAAGGAGAGUAUAGAAAAGGUGAUGUGACACCUUUCUAUGGCCUCCAAACCUAUUUAUCUAUUUUCUCUGUUUUUUAACUUCUCUUAUUUAAAUCUAUUUUUCAUAUAUAAUUAAUACUCUAUAUUCCCAUUUAUUUGAAAGUAAUGACAUAACAUUUGUUAAAUAUCAUGUUAAAAUAUCCAACAUAAAUUUUCUGGACUUUUUCUAUUAUUUUUUCUUAAAUGAUGAUGGAAGAGUAAUGUGUAAUUAAUUUUGCACAUAAAUGAAUAAAAUAAGAAAGAGAGAAAUUUUUUAAAGUUAAUUAAGGAAGUCGUCACCUAAUUAGUUCUAUGGUUGAUUAAGAUACCUAUUAAAAAUUAUGUGAUUAAAAUAAAUAGAAACUUCAUUUUAAAGUCUAAGUAACUUAAGCGAUUCUAGAUAAGAGUUUCAAUUAUCCUAAAGAAAAGGGACUAAGCACCCUAAAGGAUUUGUUAACUACGGUUAACUGAUCAAACUUAUGUUGAUAAAAUAUAUAUGAAAAAACUUAAUUAUUAAAAAAAAUAUUUUAACUAUUUCAUAAGUUCGGAAGAAGGCUAUUUACGAAAUAAGCGAUAACACGAUGAAUUUCUAUGAAAAUUAACUAAAGCAACACUUAAGAAAACAUUUAAAAGGCAUUAAUUGUGUUAAAAUAAUGUAGGUGUAAUGAAAUAUAAAAAAAAACAAGAAGAAUAAAUAGAGAGAAGAGGGAAACUUCUUUAUUUCUUGAGGGAUGAGAGAUACUUGAUUGAGAAUACAAUGAAUAAAAUCCCUCUAUUUAUAAGGGAAAAUACUCUUAGUUUCUAACUAAAAGACAGAUACUACAAAUCCUGAUAGAUAUCAACUAGAUCUUAUUAUAAAUCUUAUUAGAUCUUGAUAGAUAUUCACUAUAAUAUAAAUAAUAACACUCCCCCUUGAAUGUCUAGAUAGAUAAUGUGCCUCGUUAAAACCUUACUAGAAAACACCCAGGGAGAAAAAAAUCUAGUGAAGGAAAAAGAGUACACAUCUCUAACAAUACGCAUAUAGGCUAUCUCAUUAAAAAUCUUACAAGAAAAACCCAGUGAGACAAAAUCUUGAAAGGAAAAAAGAGUACAACACGUAUUUCCUCCCCCUAAUGAGAACAUCCUAGAACCUUUGCAUCCCGAUCUUAUGCACCAUCUUCUUGAAAGUCAUAAUUGGAAGAGACUUGGUGAAUAAAUCAACCAUAUUAUCACUCGAACGAAUCUGUUGCACGUUAAUAUCACCAUUCUUUUGUAGCUUAUGUAUGUAGAAAAGUUUUGAUGAACUGUGCUUCAUUCUAUCUCCCCCUUAAGAUGUGCUAUGCAUGCUGCAUUAUCUCUAUAUAAAAUUGUGGGUACAUUGUCACAUUUCAAACCACAUUUUUCUCGAAUAAGAUGUAUUGUAAAUCUCAACCAUACACAUUCUCAACUAGCUUCAUGAAUAGAUAUUAUCUCAUCAUGGUUCAAUGAAGUGGCUAGAUAGACUGUUUUAUAUAUUUCCAAGAUAUGACAGUGUCCCCACAUGUGAACACAUUACAUGUUUGAGACCGAGAUUUAUGAGGGUCAAAUAAAUACCCAACAUCAGCAUGACCAAUAAGAUCGGGACUACAAUCUGUAGAAUUAAAUAAACUCAUGUAUUUUAUCCCAUUUUGAUGUCUCCUUAUAGGAGCAGAAAUAUACCUUGCUUAACAAAUUGACUGAAGAGGCUAUAUUAGGCCUUGUAGUAUUUGCAAGAUACAUUAGUGCACCACUUGCACUAAGAUAUGGUUCUUCAUAACCAAUUCAAUUCGCUAUAUUUCUUAUUUCAGCAAAUAAUCUAUUGCUUUUGAAAACUCUCCAAGAGUUUUAAUAAUUUUCAAGCUAUAAGCUUAUACAAUAUAAGGAUUAUAAAUAAGUUUUCCAGAAACCUUUAUAUUCUUCAAACAUUUUGAAUCCUUGAAAGUUUUCAUGUAAAUUUUUUCAAGUGACAAUAUUCAACAUUUCAUUAGUGACAUCUUCAAGCGUUUGGAUUACAAAUCAAAUAAGUUUUAUGCUUACCAAGAUUCAUCCUUUCAUGUCAUUUGAUAAAUAUUUCUACGUCAGCAUACUUAAAUUAACGUAGAAUUCAGAUCCUUAUAAUUCUUCACAAUAUUGCACCAAUAUUGUAUCAAAAAUAUUAAUGAUAUAUUAUUUUGUACCGAUUCACAAUGAGAGAUAACAUUUUGAGAUCUCAUCACUUCAUUAUUUUCAAGUACCUGAACCUUUCAUAAGAUUUCAUAAAGUGUUGUGUCGUAGGUUCUAAAAGCACAUUGCCUUCUUAUUAUGAUUAUUUGCUCCUUAUCUUUUUAAGAAUUAUUUCAUUUAGAAUCGAUUGAUCUACCACGCUUCACGCAUGCAUAGAUUUUGUCUAUUAGGGACACAAAAUAGGAGCACUUGCAGCUUAAAUAUGAGAUGCUUUCGAAAUUUGACUUGAAUUAUCUUUUGAAUGAGGAUCUGAUGAUAAUUCCUAACAUAUUUCUUAGCUGUUUAUAAUCUCUCCCUUAUGUUAGGAAAACUAACAUACAUCCUCCUUCUUCUUUGAAAAAAUCAUCUUUGUGCAUCAUGGUAUAUUUAUUAAUUGUAUACCGCACAUCAAAACUAUUAGAUGGAAUAGUUGGUUCCUGAUCUUGAACCAAUUGAGAGGGAAGAAAUAAUCAUAAUUUAUUGGUCCAAUGCAUACAAGUGCUAUUGAAUGCAACAUAUCAUAUUUCAGACCAACAUAAGAAGCUUUGUUCUCAUUAGUAAUGGUUUAGCUAUUUAUCAAAGACAUUCAAUGCUAAACCAUCAUUAUCAAAAUGAAUUGUCUUGAUUACACAAUCUAAAAAUUAUGUUUUUAACUCAAUUUUAUUGAGCAAGCAACUUUAUGAAUAUCAAAUGGCAGGUUGACAAUGAAUGUACAUGUGAUCAUCUUAUAUUGAUGCACUUUAAUAGAUCACAUGACAGGUGAAUGAGCCCAUAUUCACCUUUUAUACUUUUCAGAUUUAAGGAAUUCAAUUCCAACAUUAGUUGGUCCAACCAACUUAUCAUGAGAACAAGCUACAAAUAAUUCUCGAAAAAUCUUUUAGUUCUUCAAUACAUGUCUAAUAUUCAAUAUGCGCAUCUUCGAGAUAUCAUAAUCGUUCAUAUCAAUUUAUGAACUUUUAUUCUAGUAAACUCCAAGUUUAUCAUGACAUGUACUUUUUUCUUUAGUAAAUUUCAGAUUUACUAUUACAUGAAUAAAUUUCAGAUUUACUACUUUAGAAGUAGUUUUUGAAAUAACUCUUCUCAGUUAUUCUGCCUCAUUUGGAGGUGAAUUGUGAUACCAUCGCAAUCAAGUGCACGUUUGCAUUAAUAAGCUUCUCAUUCCCCAGGAAUGAAAUAUAGUCAUGCCUUAAGCGUAUCAAAUUAUGAUAGCUACUACAAUAGCAAAUUGAGAAUACAUAUGAUUUAUUGCUACCACAUAGGAAUGGAGCAUAUUUAAUGGGACAUGUUUUACCAAAUACUCAUUAUUUUGCCUUAGCCAUCAUAAUAUUAUCAAUAUGGUGCAUUGAGAUUCAAACUCAACAUCUUAUCCAUAUAGUGUCUUAGGCAUAAAUCGAUGGGGAUUGAACCCAACAUAUUAUCAUUCCUUUUGAUAAUAUUGUUCUUGAGGAAUAAAAUUAAAACAUAAAUGGUUCCAAACCAAUUAUUUUUCCUCAAAUCCAACAAUAAUUACAUUAUUAGUAGCAAAAGACAAAUAAUAUAAGGAGACGACUGCUGCUAUGGAUGGGUGUACAGAGGAAUGUGGGAGACUAAACACUGAAGUGGAGUGGGUGGCUAAACAAGCAAAAGGAAGAUCAGCCAAAAGCUCCAUCAUCAGUAGUGUCUUUAGAAUGGUGAUCAAUAUAAUGUGGAGAACAAGGAACUUUAUCAGAUUCCAACAGGGCAGCUAUAAUGAAGAUCAAGUUUGCAGGGAAAUUGCUAUCCAUGUCCAUAUUCAGAGCAAAACUCAAAGGAAAUAGAAAGGCCCUCUACAACAGCAAGCUGCAGUACCGUGAUGAACACCACCUAAAUUGCUGAUACAAGGUUUACAUUGUAAUGUUGGUUGGAAAGUCUUGAUUAGUUACUACUAAAUCAGAUUCCCUAGCUGAAUGGGUGAUGUCUUAGAGAUAGUAUAAAUUUGUUACAUGUAUGAGAAACAGGGGGUCUGACCCUGUUUGGAACUUUGUAAAUAUCCUUUUGGUGAAAUAAAAUGCUUAUUUACCAAAAAAUAUUACUAACCUUGAAAUCCUUUAGAUUUAUAAUCUCACCUUUUUUGGUAGAGUCUCAUGCCGAUAACGUGUUAUGAAAUAUAAAAACAAAAACAAGAAGAAUAAAUAGAGAGAAAAGAGGGAAAUUUCUUUAUCUGUUGGGGGAUGAGAGAUAUCUUGAUUGAGAAUACAAUGAACAAAACUGUUCUAUUUAUAGGAUAAAAUACUCUUAGUUUCUAAAUAAAAGACAGAUACUUUAAAUCCUGAUAGAUAUCAACUAGAUCUUAUUAUAAAUCUUAUUAGAUAUUGAUAGACAUUUACUAUAAUGUAAAUACAUUUAUAACAGUAGGUCUUUUCUAAGGGCUUGGAGAAAUUCAAGCUUUAAAAAUAAUCAGUGGUUUUAUUACCUCAAAUUUCAGGUCAAAAGGGUCAAAGAGUUAUCCCCAAACAAAACUGUCCGGACUCAAUUUGUUUUAAAAAAAUUAUAAUUCAUGUAAAGUUCUAAAAUGUAGGUAGCAACAACUCAAAAUUACUUUCUAACUAAUCACGCAAUCAGCUGUUUUUGCACAUGAAAGAUCCAAAUGACUCAAGAAAAUUUUGAAGACUUGCUCAAACUAAUAGUAUUUAGCAAACCUUAAAUCUCUUUCAUCUUGUUGGAAUAAUAUCCCAAUUAAUCUCUCUAACGUAGAUAUUAAAAAAUUAAUAAUUAAUCUAGAAAUUGUUGAGUUCUAAGUGAAAAUGUGAAUGGAAAAGGAAGAAAAAAGGGAAUUGUGUUUUCACUUUAAGCAAGUAAUGUUCUCCAACAUUGGUGAGAGAAAGGAACUUUCUUAUGCUUAUGUUGAGAAGCAUUCCUUCAUGUGGUAGUGAGGCAAGAACAAGAAAAGCCUCACACCGUCAUCACUCGACUUGUUCUUCAUUUUUGAAAAAUGAUCGAGAGAUUACCUUUUUGGACAAAAUUCAUUUGAAACUUGAGAAUCAGUGAAGUUUUUAAUCCAAAAAUUCAAUAGAAAAUAUUUUCUCCAUUUGCGAACGCAUGUCACAAUACACUUCGAAGGAACGCGGCCCUUUAAGGCACUGUUUCAGAAAAUAAAUGUCGAGUCGAAAUAUUCUGUGGUCCGAGUCAUCCAGACUUUUUGAAAAGUGACAACUUUUCAUGAACCAUUGCUUCUUUUUUGAAGGAACUCUUUAUGGCUAUAAAUACUCAAUUUUUUCCCAGAUUUUGGUAUGAAAUUUUGAAGUGAGAAAACAUCUUCAAACUCAAACGUGAUCUUCAAACUGUCGAGUGAGUUCGUUGUUCAGAAAAUUUGAGGUACCACUAUUUUCUUAAGUGAAUCAUUUUAUCCUGCGAGGAUAUAUUCCAUUAACCUCGGGUACUUGAGGAAAAAAAAUUUCUUAAGGAUACAUCGUGAAUUCGGUGGACUUUAUUUUAUCAUUUCUGUAUUCAUCUCUUUCAUAUGGUUUUGCUAGUUUCCAGAUAAUAGUUGAAAUUUCAUUUUGAUAAUUCAUAAAUUAUUUAUAAUUGUGCUUGAAGUUGGUAGAACUUUUUUGUUGUUAUGAAAGUUGUUCUUGAACUUAGUGUAAAAGUUCUUCUUGUUAAUACAAAUUUUGUACCCGGAAACAACUGAAAUAAGCCAAAACAAAAAAUCACAUAAAAAGGCAUAAUAUAAUUAAACAAUCAUAAGGUAAGUAAAAAGAAAGCCAGCCUUCUCCCUUUUUCUUACUUCUGUUUGGACAUUUUGAAAGGAGGGACGAGAUUCAAUGAAGAAGCAAAUUCAAACUCCCUGAUUUUCUCUUUGUUCGGACGACUUGAGAAAGAGAACGACACCCAGUAAAAAAUGAGAUACAUUUAUCAAGUCUAUGGUGAUUUCAAGCCUCAGAGUGAGAUUUAUUGUAGCGCGUGAGAUUCUUUGCAAAGACUUCAUUUUGAGUUCAAAGUGUUCAUGUAAAUAAAGAAAAAGUAAGAAAAUUAGACAAAAAUCUUAACAGUAAAGGCAAAAACAAAAUAAAUUAGAUCAUAUGACACUCAACUGAAGAUAACAUAAAAUUAAGUAAAAAGAAGUCGAAUAAAUAUUUUUGAAAAUUCAGGCAGUAUCUCGAGCCAUAUAAAAAUGGAAGAGCAUAACUUUAAGUCAGGAUACUUGUCACAAUCCAAAAUCAGGUAAUGAUGGCACUUAUCGUAACUCAAUCUUUAUAAGUAAGUCAAUCAUCCAAACUGAAAAAGGAAUCACGAAAUUACAAUAACAUACAUCCAGGAGAGAUUUCUAGAAUGAAGUCAAGCCAAACACUAAAUAUAAUUAAAACAGAAUAUGAAAGAAAUCUAUAGACUCGAUCUCAAAAUCUGAUGUAAUAGCAUAAGAGCAUCUAAUAUAAUAUCCAAAACUGAAAAUACAUAGUCUGUCUCUGAAAUAGUAAGCAUGGAGUCGACUCUGAAAAUCCUAAAAUAGACUAGUACCUUGAAGUGUCACCAACUUCACCACAGGAAUCAGCCUCCGUGAGUCGUACUCAUGCUAGUAUCUGCAUCGAAAGGGCACAAUAGGGUGAGUACGUUCCACUUGUACUCAGUAGGUAUCAUAGGUUGACUGAACAAAGUAGAAAAUAAGUUAAGUAAAAUAUACUAUGAGCAUAUCACCUGCAAGUAAAAGAGUCUCAAACGGUAGCUCACACAGUCUCCACUAACAGUUCUAAUAUAUAUAAUUACACAAAAACAGUAGCAAUAUAGAAAUAAAAGAAAAAUACAAUAAAACUAAGCACAAGACAAGAAAACUAAGGAAAAAAAAAGCAAGAUGCCUAUGCAAAUGCGAUGCAAUGCAAUGUGGAUGGGAUAAAUAAUGUUACAUGACUUUCUAGAUGCACCUACCAAGCUCGCAACUACCAGGUAGGAGCCAUGGGGGGUUUGCAACUCAUAUACUGUAUCUCAAUCUCAAACUUAACUAACCUCUCCGAUUUGUGCUCAUGGAGAGAAUUUUCAUGACAAUGUCGUAUUUUCUUUCAAAAACAGUGUUUCUCAAUAGUACCAGUAUCUCAUGAAUGUAUAUGUAUGGAAUAAGGAUGUAAUGCUCACAAUUAACUCAAAUGAUGAUAUCCAAUCCGUCCGGCACAAUAUAUAUAUAUAUAUAUAUAUAUAUAUAAGCCCUAGAAAUCAACUCAAUAUGUCCACAAUUCAUGAUCAUCAACUCCAAACAUGCACUCACAUACAAAAUUGUUGCUUUCACAAUAGUUCUAUAUAAAUACACUUUGAUAAGCAUCUUAUUUUUUAACAAGACCCUCGUAGCACUCCAUUUCACCCCUUUUCAAAUUUUAUACAUUGUAUCUUAAUCUAUCUUUGACAUUAUCUUAAAAGAGAAAGCUUAGAUAUUUAAAUUAUUUGCCCUCCUCUAAGGAAGCACUUUAGUACAUAAGCUUUGAUUAUGUAUGGGACUUGAGAAAGAACUGGACAAUAUCAUAUUUAUCACAUGUGUUACAAUCUAUUUUUAAACUAGUAAAAAAAUAUUUCAUAACUUCGUGGGGGAAAAAGUCUAUUUGAUUUUAUUUUGAAUUUUUUUUUUAGAAAAAAUAGAGUCGCCAAGUAAUUUUAGAAAAAUAAGAAACCAUUUUAAAAGAUAAUUUUUAAAGAAAAUCUUUAAUAAUAAAAAAAAUCAGAGUCUAGUUAAGGGUUUAAGUAAAUUCGAAGGAAGGUAUUAGGCACUUUUAAAAAUUCACAAAGUGUGAUUUCCGACGGAUUCAACUUAUUUGGAUAAACAUGAAAUAAAUUCCUAAGUUAUAAAAUCUUGAAAUUAUUUUAGAAGAAUUUUGAAUUUAUUUGAAAAUGUCAAUUUAAAUAAAUAGAAUUCAUUUGGUACUUAUCCAUUUAAUCCAUUUUAAAUAAUGAAAUAAACUAAACAUCAAGUUUUGAAAUAAUUCUAACUUUAAUAUUUUUAUCCGAAUUAAGCCUUUGACAAAAUAGUUGAAUCAAUUUCUUAAACGCGGAUUUAAGCUGCCUAAUAAUUAUGAAAGGACAAAGAAAAUUCUCCAAGUUAUUCUUUGAGCUUAAGUUUGCCUAAAUAGAGCAAAUUAAAAAAUAGUACAUGACCAAAAUAAAAUAAAUAAGUUUAACAAAAAAACUUACUCCAUGAGGAUUCAUCUAGAUUAACUAAAUUAAAUUACAAACAAAGUAAGUAAAAAUACAAGAAAAUAAAGGAAGAAAAGAUGAGAUUUAGGCUCCUUUCUGGCCCAUUUCAGAUCAGCCCAGAUUUUGGGCCUAUUUUAAUGGGCCUUUUCUCAGCCCUUUUUCAAUUGUAUACCAUCUGUAUUUCAGAUCCUCUUUUUCACAGUUUUAAGGCUGUAUACACACACUGUAUAUCAGCUUGCGAAUUUGUAUACGAGCGUCUUUCUCUCAUGUUUUGCCCUUUUGAAUCCAUAUCAGCUUUCCAAACCUAUAUAUAAUGUAUCUUUUGUAUAUCUUUUUAUACAACCUUGAUCUUCAUGAUUUUAGUCCAUUUUUGGACUUGGAGGAGGCUUGACUUAACAUAUUAGGCCUCCAUGGAUCAUCAUAAAUACAAAGAGGGAAUGGAGUCCAAUGGACUCAGAUAGGAGGCGCGUGCAAAGAAAAAAAACCAUAAGUAAUUAGGGAAAAAUAACUAAAGCAAAUGGCAAAUUCACAGUUAAACAACAUAAAUACUAUCAGUAGAAUUUAGUUCCUAUCUCAUAUUGGGAAGCUAAGAAAAACACAAUUUUAAGAUUGCAAUUGGGGAAGGAUUUGCUUGCAGGUUCAACUUUAACACCUCUUAGUUUAAAUAAAAGAUCAAACAAGUACAUAAUUCAGUAAAGCGUUGAUUCUCAUUUCUUAGCCAAAUUUUCAUUCACAACUUGCAAUCAAACUUGAUUUUGCUGCAUACUAAGGUUUGAUUACAACUUUUUAGAAUGUAAGAUGAAUCAUGAGGCAGCCAUCAACAUUGCCUAAUGAAUCAAAAUAAGACCUGACAUCAUAAUUUAACAAUAACAUUCUAGAAGGCUUCACAGAAUCUAUGUAUGAUCUCCCUUAAAACAUUGCAGAUUAGCUAAACAAUAUGCGAAUGUAAGAAAUGAUCUGUUAUCUCUCGUCAGGCAAACAACAGAUGGAUUUUCAGAACCAAAACUGUUAGAAAAUAUAUAGAAUUCAACCUUUAAUGUUCUCAAGCAACCAAAAGAUGAGCAGAGUGCAAAAAUAGAUGAUUCGAAUUCACCAUUGAGCACUCUUACACCUCAAAACACAUAAAGAUUUAAUUUUCAACUUUUAAUGAAGGCAAAAUUAUGAAUAUGAAUAAUCAACUGAACAAUUUUCUUUUGUUCUUCUUAUUUAUAAGAUCGUUAUUCGAUCCGCAUAUGAUUGGUAAACAGAAUAAUCUUAUCCUUGGAGAAUAAUAAAUAAUGGACAGUGUUCAAUUGGAACAUAAAAAUGUGACUAAAUUGGUCCUAGUUACUCUUCGGGGCGGAGUAAAGAUUUAGACAUAAUAAGCAACAUUGAGAUGGAACUAAAUCAAGAAACAUGAGCCUAACACCAGCUAACUGAAUUAAGGCAAACAUAUUUAAUUAACGGAACUACGUAACAAAUACCAUUACACAAAAAUCCUAUGGCCUUCAAUGCCUUCUACAACACAUAAUCCCACCAUAAUUGUGAUUAUGAAAAAUCGUUAGCCAUAAAAAGAAGAAGAAGAACAAAUAACUAAAUAAUUGAAAAAGAGAAAGAUGUGUUACCUUUUACGGAGCAGCAAACAGUGACUUCGGACUUGUUAAAUUCUCUUUGCACCACCAAAAACUUCUAACAAAAUUCCUUAGCAAACAGUGACUUUGGGCUUGUUAAAUUCUCUUCACACCACCAAAAAACGUCUAACAAAAUUCCUUAGCCAGAAUCCUAAGCCAAACUAUCUUACAAGAAUUUAGCGCAGGAACUUCAAUUUAGUAAAAUUUCUUUCUCAAUCGGGGUUCUCAGCUAGCUAAUGCCUCUUCCCUCCAACCUCCUAAAAUAGUGGAGUAGGGAGGUUUAUAUAGGUGCGAAUCAGAUUCGAUUUGGGGUUGAAUUAGCAAUGUGGGAUGAAAAAAUAGGCAGCGUAUCUGUAACACCCUGAGAAUACACCCUGGGCGCCACACGGUGCUUACAGUCCCGAGGAACCACAAGCUAACCCAUGAGCUGGUACCUGCUGUGAGCACUGAAUAAAAUAUAAUAUACGCGGAAGAACAACUGAUAAGCCAUAAGGUUUUAAGUAAUAAAAACUGAUAGAAUCUGUAAACCAAACAGAUAAAAUAAUUUGACUAUGUCAACUGAAGUCUGAACGCUGAAUAACUGACUGUAAUAUCUGAAAGCCUCUAAACUGACUAAAUGUAAGUUGAUGGGACAGGCCCCAACUAACUCCAACUAGCUACUAAACUGAAAAUAUGAAGUAAAAUAGUAUGUCAUCGAGAUAUGAGGACUCACCACUGCUACAGCUGAUAGUCUAAGAAGUCUAGGCACGAUGCGGGAACUGGGUGUCCGAACCUAUGAUAUGAUACAUCAUAGCACAAAAAAAAGUAUGUGAUCAGUACUUUGAAUGUACUGGUAUACUAAAUGAGGUAAGCUGAUAUGCUUGGUUUCAUGAACAUAAAUAAUAGUUGUCUGUAUGUAUGUAUGUAGAGAUAUAACAUGUAAUACUAGAUAGAGUGCAUGAAAUCUGUAAAAACUGAGGAUACAUGAAGUCUAUAAAUGCUGAGAAUACAUGAAAUUUGUAACUGCUGAGGAUACAUGACCAAGCAUUAACACGUUCUGAUUAUAUUUUGUAAAUACUGAAACACUGAACUCUGAUAACUAAAUCACCAAUAUCUGUAUGCUAUGUCCAAGCAACCGAAACUGAAUUUCUGGACUGAUUACUGGACUGAGACUGUGAGAGUUAUCAUCUAAUCGACAUGCCCCAAUUUGAGCUAAUCGGGGUCCAACCUGUAACCCCAGUUGGAAGGGUGCCAGUACCAUGCCACGAGUACUAACGCUGGUUGUGUGAAUCCACUAUAUUGAUGUACUGUCCCGAAGGACUAAGAUUGUCAAGCCUAAUCUGACGGGUGACCCUUGGAAGGUAGUCAAGCCUAAUCAGAUGGGUGACUCAUCUUAUCCUACUCUGGCUACGUAGUUCUAGAGUUCAGGGACUGUUACUAACGACUCUGCCUAUUUGACGGGGAAGCCGCCAUCCCUGUCCUCACUCGGUGCUAAAUCCUACUCCCAACUGAAUUGACUCAGAAUACUGAACUGUUAUGAGUUUAACUGAUUAUGAUAACUGACUGAACUGAUAUUGCUCAUAAUAUGUCUGAAACUGUUCUGAAUCUACUAAGACUAAGUAAACAACUUAACAUGGGAGUAUUUAUUUAAAAUCCACUCUCGUAGGCAUUUCAUCAAACAUUUGAUAUGCAUGGUGUACAUUAAGCAAGAGAAUAGUUAAAGCUUGUAGUAAAAGCACAAUUUCAAUACCAAUAUCACAGAUCAUGAAUUAAAUCAGUGGACAACAACAUUUAAACAUUUGGAGUGUAAUAAUCAACAUCAAUUUCAUAAAAACCUGGUAUAGGACAAGAUUCAUGGAAUUUUCAUGGUUAAAUCACAAUUUCAAAUCAUAAAUAACUUGAAAAGAUCAUAACUUUGUAUCUAAAUUGGAUAUGUGGGCUUCAUGGGUGAAAGAGACCCAUGAACACUUAACAUACCUGAAAAGAUGAGUUCUUGAAGGUUCUUGGAGGAUUGCUUUAGGAUUGUUCUUGAUUCUUGAAGCUAGGGUUUUGUUGAUUUGAGAGAGAGUAACUUAAAUCUUAAGAGAGUGAGUGAAUAAUGAAAUAAUAAGCAAUUAGUGCUCUUUUAGGACUUAAUUUCAUAUUUAGGACUGAUUAGGGUCGUGAAAAAAUAUCAAAUUACCCCUGAAAUGAUUUAAUAAUUUCAUCACUGAAAAUCCAAUCUUGGCCUUCAUCGCGAUGCGGUGGCAUCACGGUGAGCCACUAGAAAUUGACUGGGAACUGUGUAAAAAAAACGAACAUGAAAUUGACCCUUAGCGCGACGCGGUGUUAUCGCAAAAUCACACUGGAAAGUGACAAUUGGAAAAUUGGACAUUGGCACGACGCGAUGGAAUCACGUUGCCUCACUGGAAAUUGACAAUUGUAGACUAGAAUAUUGGCGCGAUGUGUCAUUAUUUCGAUGGCAUACUGGAAAAUAACAAUUGCCAUUUGGAAUGGCUCCGCAAUGUGGUACUACACCAGGUGGCACACUAUUUUACAAAAAUUGCUCUAACUCUUCGUCCGGGUAUCGAAUUUGGGCGAAUUUUAUAUCAUUGGAAAGUUGAACGAAUUUCCUACGCAAUGGCAGGUCUUAAACUUAAAAAUUAUGAUUAUUUUAAAAAUUUUAUAUAGGAAUACUCAUGCACUAAGAGUUAAACCGAGCUAGGGAAAUACGAGGUAUUACAAUAUCUCCCCCUUAAGAACAUUCGUCCUCGAAUGAGACUGAUUAAGAUGAGAAGUACUGAUAAACUGAGUUUACACACUGAACAUGCACAACUGAAGCAUGAUUGCAUGAAUGAAACUACUGUUAAACUGAGUUUUCUUACUGAAUAUGCACAUCUGAUGUAUGAGUACAUGGCUAAACUGAUUCAUAAAUGCAUAACUAUCAUGAAGAUGAUAUACAACGGUAACUGAUACUAAGGUUUGUAACUGUAACUGAAUAUGAAACCUAGUAAAUCUAAGAAAGACUGUUACCUUAAGCUGAAUCUGAGUUUGCAAAGAAAAGGUGAGGAUACUUGGUCCGCAUAUCUGCAUCUGUUUCCCAAGUAGCUCCCUCAACGAACUGAUUUCGUCAAAGAACUUUGACCAAGGAAACUUCUUUGUUCCCCAGUCUGCGAAUCUGACGUUCGAGAAUUUCGAUUGGGACCUCUUCGAAAGAGAGAUCAUUCUGAAUGCUUACACUUUCUAAAGGAACGACAGCUGUUGGGUCUCCGGUGAACUUCUUUAUCAAGGAGACGUGGAAUAAUGGGUGCACUGAAGCUAGAUCUGAAGGCAACUCAAGCUCGUAAGCUACCUUUUCGAAACGACUGAGAAUUUUGUAAUGACCAACAUAUCGGGGACUAAGCUUCCCUUUCUUGUCGAACCUCUUUACUCCCUUCAUGGGAGAGAUCUUUAGGUACAUAAAGUUGCCAAUCUCAAACUCGAGAUCCUUUCUCCUCACAUCUGCAUACGAUUUCUGUCGGCUCUAGGCUGCUUUAAGCCUUUCCCUGAUCAACUGAACCUUCUCUAAGGCAUCAACACUAAGUCAGGCCCUACUACUGCGGCCUCACUUACCUCGAACCAACCAAUUGGACAUCUAUAUCUCCUACCAUAAAGAGCUUCAAACGGAGUCAUCUGAAUACUAAAAUGAUAGCUGUUAUUAUAUGCGAAUUCGGUCAAAGGCAAGUGGUCAUCCCAACUACCUUUAAAAUCAACAACACAAGCUCUUAACAUAUCUUCUAGAGUCUGAAUGGUCCUUUUUGCUUGACCAUCUGUCUGAGGGUGAAAAGUUGUACUGAGAUGAACUUGGGUACCAAGACCCUUCUGAAAAGCUUUCCAAAAGUGAGAAGUAAACUGAGUACCUCUGUCUGAAAUGAUAGAUAGAGAAAUACUGUGCAACCUAAACAACUCUUUGAGGUAGAGCUUGGCAUAGUCUUCGGCUGAAUAAGAAGUAUGGACUAGCAAAAAAUGGGCUGACUUGGUCAUCCUGUCUACGAUAACCCAAAUUGAAUCAUGUUGAUGGCAGGUACAAGGCAAACCCGUCACAAAGUCCAUGUUCACUUCUUUCCAUUUUCAUGUGGGAAUACUGAACUCCUGCAUAGACCCACUAGGCUUUUGGUGCUCAAUCUUAACCUGCUGACACGUAGAGCACUUAGCUACAAAUUCUGCAAUAUCUCUCUUCAUCCCACUCCACCAAUAGAUCUCCCGCAAAUCGCGGUACAUCUUAGUGGCCCCCAGAUAAAUCGAGUACUACACACCAUGCGCUUCUGCAAGAAUUCACUGUCUCAAAUCAUCUACACCUGGCAUGCAUAGUCUACCCUGGCAACGCAACAACCAUCUCCCCCUUGGGUUGGGACGGAUUGGGAUGGGUUGACCCUUUAGAAACAAUAAAAGCAACACGAAACAUGGUAAACAGAAAUAUUGUAAGUACUAGACUACCACUAACUUUUAUGGUUUCACUUUCAUAUGUCUCCUACUAAUUUUUAGCAUGUUUUAGGUAUCUUACUAAUACUUUUAAGGUUGUUAGGUUGNNNNNNNNNNNNNGAUAAUUGAUCUCGGAAUUUGUUAUUCCACCAUGUAUACGGAUAAUUUAUCUCAUCAUUAUGAUGUAAAUGGUGCGAUAAAUAAUGUCGGUACUAACUAAUACCUCACACCUAACAUGGGAUAAAAUAGUCCUUCAUUAUCUCGAAUUAUUUAUCUCUUAUACCUCACACCAAACAAUCUUUUAGUUGUAAUUAGCUUAUGACAUUUAUUGUAAUAAGCAAAGAAAUGAUAAUUAGCUACAAAUUCCAUAGAAAAAUUCUAAUAUGGCUAAGAUAAUAAAUACAGAUAUACACAAAGUAUCUAAAUAAAAGCAGCAAGAUUAUAAUAGAAGAGAGCCUAAAUUUAAAGAACAAAAUAUUGCAUUAAGCAAAGGCAACAACUACUAGACCAUCACGAGUAAAAACAACUUUUUGAAGUUCACAACUAAAAGCAGCUUAUAAGUCAUUUCAAACACACACUAAGAACUUCCAAAAAAAAUAGUAUCAACCAAAGAAUGGAUAAAAAAAAAUAAGUAGCUAGUUAGAAAAGAUUGACAAAAUUCUAAUUCCUAAUAAAUAAAUGACCAACUUCAAAAUAUUUAACAAUUAUUUUUAAUAUCUCAGCCUAUGGGCUGACCUCUGAGGCUAACGGGUUAGGCCUCUGAAGCCGACGAGCCAAGUGAGGUUGGACUUAUAAGCCUCAUUUCUAAAUGGAUUGAAAAAACUUAGCCCAACCCCAUUUAAUUAAAGGGUUGGAUUGAGCCAGCCUUACGGGUUAUGCCCAUUUUGACAGCUCUACUUUGGAGGAAAACCAUUUUCACUCAUUUUUUUGACUUCUUGUCCUUGCUACAAAAUUAGGAGAAAUGAAAAUGUCUCACCUUUUUAUUCAGUAAUUUUCAUUAUAAAAUUAUUGUCACGUGACCAAAACCCUUGUGGUCCUGGUCUUCCCUAAAUUUCGUGUAUAGCAGGAGCUUAGUGCACCAUGGUCUUUCUAUUACUAAUAAAAUAUAGCCUACACUUAAAACACUGUUCAGUUUUGUGGGCAUUAUUGUCAGUACUCUAGCAUAUCUUUGUAUGCUAUCCAUGUUGAAUUUGGAAACCCCUAGCUAUCAACCCAUGAGAUUUUAAAAGUUUCAGUCAGAAAUCAGAAUCUCUUCUAAUAAAAUAUCAAAACAAUUUAGUAGAGCCUAAAUUUUAUUGGUUAAACCCCUGCAUGUGAGACGUGGAUAGCAUCGCACUUCAUCAAAUACCAAUAAUAAGUAAUAACUGUCAGUGAGCGCCACAUUCUCCACCACCCUCUCAUACCCCCAAGCAAGUCUCUCUCAACUUGCCACAGAGGAGAAGUAUGUCAAGAAUUUUUCUUGCUCUGCUGCUUUUCAUGUUUGUCACAAAAAUUUCAGGUAAAAUCCCAACUCUUUUGCAUUUAGAACGAGUUGAUUUCUCAUAUAGUCACUCGACUAAUAGUGAUUAUUUCAGAAAGUCACUUUCCUUGUUGAUAAAAAAAAAGGAAUCAAUAAGGAAGGCGACUUUCUGAGAUAAUAACUACUAGUUGAGUGACCACCUGACAAAUCCUAUUUGGUAGAUUAAGUUUUCCGCCAUUUGAUAGUCAUAUUUUAUUUCCACUUUUUUUGUUUUGGUGCUUUCAUAGUGAAUGGGCAGCUAGAAGAAUGGUGCAUAGCAGAUGAGCAGACACCAGACAAUGAGUUGCAAGUAGCUUUAGAUUGGGCAUGUGGGAAAGGAGGUGCAGAUUGUAGCAAGAUUCAGAAGGACCAGGUUUGUUAUUACCCAAACACAGUGAGAGACCACGCUUCUUAUGCCUUCAACAAUUACUUCCAGAAGUACAAGAAGAAAG